ACUAUAAGCUAACGAAAAAGGCAA
rnacentral:misc_RNA from 1 species